rnacentral:rRNA from 1 species
GGAUGAACGCUAGCGGCAGGCCUAAUACAUGCAAGUCGAGGGACAUCUCUAGUUUGCGGACUAGAAGCGACCGGCGAACGGGUGCGUAACGCGUAUGCAAUCUACCUUGUACAGGGGAAUAGCUUUCGGAAACGAGAAUUAAUACCCCAUAGUAGGAAGAUAACGCCUGUUAUCUUUCUUAAAGCUUCGGUGGUACAAGCGGAGCAUGCGUCCCAUUAGCUAGUAGGUGAGGUAACGGCUCACCUAGGCGAUGAUGGGUAGGGGUUCUGAGAGGAAGAUCCCCCACACUGGCACUGAGACACGGGCCAGACUCCUACGGGAGGCAGCAGUAGGGAAUAUUGGUCAAUGGGCGCAAGCCUGAACCAGCCAUGCCGCGUGCAGGAAGAAGGCCCGUAAGGUUGUAAACUGCUUUUAUAGGAGAACAAACCCCUCCGGCGGGAGGGUCUGAGGGUAUCCUAAGAAUAAGCACCGGCUAACUCCGUGCCAGCAGCCGCGGUAAUACGGAGGGUGCAAGCGUUGUCCGGAAUUAUUGGGUUUAAAGGGUGUGUAGGCGGCUAAUUAAGUCAGAGGUGAAAUGCUAGAGCUUAACUUUAGAACGGCCUUUGAAACUAGUUAGCUUGAGUCAAGGAGAGGUAGGGAGAAUUUAUGGUGGAGCGGUGAAAUGCAUAGAUACCAUAAGGAAUACCGAUAGCGAAGGCCCCUUACUGGCCCUUUGACUGACGCUGAGACACGAAAGCGUGGGUAGCCAACAGGAUUAGAUACCCUGGUAGUCCACGCUGUAAGCGAUGAUCACUCGAUGUACCUUUUUCGAAGGGUGUAUCCAAGCGAAAGCGUUAAGUGAUCCACCUGAGAAGUACGCUCGCAAGAGUAAAACUCAAAGGAAUUGACGGGGGUCCACACAAGCGGUGGAGCAUGUGGUUUAAUUCGAUGAUACGCGAGGAACCUUACCUGGGCUAGAAAGGCGUUGCUAUCUUGAGAGAUCAAGAGUUCCUUCGGGACUUCGCCUAAGGUGCUGCAUGGCUGUCGUCAGCUCGUGCCGUGAGGUGUUGGGUCAAGUCCUCUAACGAGCGCAACCCCUAUACUUAGUUGCCAGCAUGUGAUGGUGGGGACUCUAAGUAGACUGCCCGCGUAAGCGCGGAGGAAGGUGGGGAUGAGGUCAAGUCAUCAUGGCCCUUACGCCCAGGGCUACACACGUGCUACAAUGGCGUUGACAAUGAGUAGCUACCUGGUAACAGGAUGCGAAUCUAUAAAAGGCGUCUCAGUUCGGAUUGAGGUCUGCAACUCGACCUCAUGAAGUUGGAAUCGCUAGUAAUCGCGCAUCAGCCAUGGCGCGGUGAAUACGUACCCGGACCUUGUACACACCGCCCGUCAAGCCAUGGAAGUCGUUAGGACCUGAAGAUGGUGGCCGUUUUAGGAACUGUUAAGGGUUAGAAUGAUAACUAGGGC